rnacentral:rRNA from 1 species
CUCGCAAGAGAACCGGAACACAGGUGCUGCAUGGCUGUCGUCAGCUCGUGUCGUGAGAUGUUGGGUUAAGUCCCGCAACGAGCGCAACCCUUGUCAUUAGUUGCCAUCAUUUGGUUGGGCACUCUAAUGAGACUGCCGGUGACAAACCGGAGGAAGGUGGGGAUGACGUCAAGUCCUCAUGGCCCUUAUGGGUAGGGCUUCACACGUCAUACAAUGGUCGGUACAGAGGGUUGCCAACCCGCGAGGGGGAGCUAAUCCCACAAAGCCGAUCGUAGUCCGGAUCGCAGUCUGCAACUCGACUGCGUGAAGUCGGAAUCGCUAGUAAUCGUGGAUCAGCAUGUCACGGUGAAUACGUUCCCGGGUCUU